GAUGAACGCUAGCGGCAGGCCUAAUACAUGCAAGUCGGACGGGAUUCAGGAGCUUGCUUCUGAUGAGAGUGGCGCACGGGUGCGUAACACGUAUGUAACCUACCUUUAUCAGGGGGAUAGCCUCUCGAAAGAGAGAUUAAGCCCGCAUAAAAUCACAGCACAGCCUUGUGUAAUGAUCAAAUAUUUAUAGGAUAAAGAUGGGCAUGCGGAACAUUAGCUAGAUGGCGGGGUAACGGCCCACCAUGGCGACGAUGUUUAGGGGAUCUGAGAGGAUGGCCCCCCACACGGGUACUGAGACACGGACCAGAGUGCUACGGCAGGCAGCAGUAAGGAAUAUAGGACAAUGGGAGGAAGCCUGAACCAGCCAUGCCGCGUGCAGGAAGACGGCCCUACGGGUUGUAAACUGCUUUUAUACGGGAAUAAACGCAGAUACGUGUAUCUGGCUGAAGGUACUGUAAGAAUAAGGACCGGCUAACUCCGUG
rnacentral:rRNA from 1 species